AGUGGACCAGGGUGAGGCUCGCUGGUGUGGUCACCCACUCUCCAGCCCAGCCCCAAUCCCACCACAACCAC
ensembl:miRNA